rnacentral:rRNA from 1 species
AGUGAACGCUGGCGGCGUGCCUAAUACAUGCAAGUCGAACGGAGUGGCGCACGGGUGAGUAAUGUAUAGCUAAGCUGCCCUCCCCUAGAGGACAACAGUUGGAAACGCCUGCUAAUAUUCUAUAUUGUAGGAUUAGGCUAUAUUGUAUCAGCUAGUUGGUGAGGUAAUGGUUCACUCAGGCUAUGACGCGUAACUGGUCUGAGAGGAUGAUCAGUCACACUGGAACAGAGACACGGUCCAGACUCCUACGGGAGGCAGCAGUAGGGAAUAUUGCUCAAUGGGGGAAACCCUGAGGCAGCAACGCGGCGUGGAGGAUGACACUUUUCGGAGUGUAAACUCCUUUUGUUAGGGAAGCGGUACCUAACGAAUAAGCACCGGCUAACGCCGUGCCAGCAGCCGCGGUAAUAC